UUUUUAGUAUAAGUAUGUCCCAUGCAAUAUUCGGGACAUAUGUACAUUAAAA
rnacentral:pre_miRNA from 1 species